UGAAAAAGACGAAUCCUUUUUGGCACCAUCAUAUAAAUCAUAUUUAUUUUUUUAAGCAGCCAUGACAAAGUGCUCUGACGGGGUUGAAACUUGAACCCAUUUUGAACAUUUAUAUCCUCUUCUCCUCCGCAGCUCUCCAGAGAGUGCUCAGAGAGACACAGAUGGAACCUCCACCAGCACAAGCCAUAGAGACUUCCAGCAACAAUUUUCAGGCAGGAGAAGAUGAGCAGGACAAAGUCAUCAAUGACUGUUGUUCCUGCUUUUAUGACUGCACAGAGACCUGCUUUGAUUACUUAUUCUGUAAUCUCUGUUAGAUGAGAUGGGAUUAGAUUAAGCUUAUAAGUU